UACGUAGGAGGCGAGCGUUGUCCGGAGUUACUGGGCGUAAAGGGUGCGCAGGCGGCGUUCCGCGUGGCGAGAUGAAAUCUCCUGGCUUACCUGGGAGGGUGGUCGCCAGACGGGAGCGCUUGAGGGUCGGAGAGGGGCGUGGAAUUCCCGGUGUAGCGGUGAAAUGCGUAGAUAUCGGGAGGAACGCCGGUGGCGAAAGCGAUUCUCUGGCCCGUUCCUGACACUGAGGCGCGAAAGCUAGGGGAGCAAACAGG
rnacentral:rRNA from 1 species